rnacentral:rRNA from 1 species
GGGCGUGUGUGCUGGUAUGAGUCUUCCAUCCUUCUAGAGAGCCACGCCUGCUGUUCACUCAGCUGGGCGUGUGCGAUCUAGAUCAUUUACUUUGAAAAAAUUAGAGUGUUUAAAGCAGGCUUAUGCCCGAAUACAUUAGCAUGGAAUAAUAAAAUAGGACUUCGGUUCUAUUUUGUUGGUUUCUAGAACUGAAGUAAUGAUUGAUAGGGAUAGUUGGGGGUGCUAGUAUUCAGUGGCCAGAGGUGAAAUUCUUGGAUUCACUGAAGACUAACUACUGCGAAAGCAUUCACCAAGGAUGUCUUCUUUAAUCAAGAACGAAAGUUGGGGGAUCGAAGACGAUCAGAUACCGUCGUAGUCUCAACCAUAAACUAUACCGACUAAGGAUCAGUGGACGUCUUAUUUCGACUCCAUUGGCACUUUAUGAGAAAUCAAAGUCUUUGGGUUCCGGGGGGAGUAUGGUCGCAAGGCUGAAACUUAAAGGAAUUGACGGAAGGGCACCACCAGGAGUGGAGCCUGCGGCUUAAUUUGACUCAACACGGGAAACCUUACCAGGUCCGGACAUGGAGAGGAUUGACAGAUUGAAGAUCUUUCUAGAUUCUAUGGGUGGUGGUGCAUGGCCGUUCUUAGUUGGUGGAGUGAUUUGUCUGGUUUAUUCCGUUAACGAACGAGACCUCGGCCUUUAACUAGUCCCUCUGUCCAUUACGGAUGGAGGUCACUUCUUAGAGGGACAAACGG